GGCUGCUGUCCGCCUGUGCUGCCCAUGGAACACAGCCUGGCCGCCCGCAGGCAUCUCGACAAAAAGCUCUGGCUGGACAAUAUUCCCAACCCUUAUUUGGACUCAGCUUUGGGGAAGAGCUGCAAUUCCCCAGCAGCGCUGGAACCCCGGUUGGAAUCACACACCGGAAAAAGGGGAGGAAUUUUUGCUGCAUCCAUGUCCAUCUGUGCUGGGACACAACGCUGGACUGUGUCAUAGAGGGACAGAAAGGGAAGUCGUGAACAAGUGGUGACUCUGGAGGGACGGCUGGGAAGAGUGGCUAUUCCCGAGGCUCCAGCGGAACGAGCGGACAAGCACGAACGACAGAGUUAACGCGUGGGAGACGACAGACUCAAAGCAGGUCUGAGAUUAGCGGUGGAAGAUGAAUAAAUUACACAAACA